rnacentral:lncRNA from 10 species
GGUGUGGACCUGUUCCCAGAGUCAGCUGCUCUGACCACUCAGCAGCUGACAGCACGAGCUGAUGGUGCUGACAGCUGUUAUUACCCAGAGCUCCUAAGGAGAGAUGCCAGAGGUAGAGACCUGCCAAGCAGGUAAAAUUUGUUUAAGCAAAGCAAAGUGAAGAAUCUACAAAACAGGAGCCUCUGGCCCAGGGUGAAUGAAGGGUUUCAGCAGAGUCCCCAGCUCUCAUCUCUCCCCUACGUGUGGGAAAUCCCCAGGACUGCUUGAUCACGCUGACCAUUCCUGGAUUCUCUCCACUCAAAGGAUGACUGGGACUGAUACCCCUAAGCCCUUGAACUAGGAUAGCAGAGUUCUGCAUACUCCUCUUCCUGACCUUUCAUCCAUUCAACCAAGACUUACUGAUCACCUGCAAUGUUCAAAACACUGAGAGUAUGCAGGCGAAUCAGACUCCCAGUGUACUUCCAUCUGCAGCACACAGGACAUCACAGAUUGUCAACGCUGUCACACAGUACUGCUCUGGUUAUUCCUCGUGGUUAUCUUUGCUCCUCAGGGAGAUGGUGAGUGUCCAGCUCCAUGGAAGUCCUCUUGAGCUUGCCAGGUACACAGACCCCCUGCGAGUCUCUGUAAACUUGGGCAUUCUGUGUGCUGGGCUCUUGAUUUCUUGCAAACUGAUUUCAGAAUUCACUUAUAUAAAUUUUUUUUUAUUUUACUUUUUCUUUUUUCUGUUUAUUUAGAGACAAGUUCUCCCUCGGCUGCCCAGACUAGAGUGCAGUGGUGUGAUCAUAGCUCACUGAAGCCUCAAACUCCUAGGCUCCAGAGAUCCUCCCACCUCAGCCUCCUGAGCAGCUGAGACUACAGGCAUGCACCCCCACACCUGGCUAAUUUUUUAAUUUUUUGUAGAGACGGGUCUCACCAUGUUGCCUAGGCUGGUCUCAAACUCCUGAGCUCAAGCAAACCUCCCAUUUCGACCUUCCAAAGUGUUGGAACUCCAGGUGUGAGCCACCACACCCGGCCCACUUAUAGGUUUUUUGAGCUAUAAUCGCCACUGCACUCCAGUCUGGGCG